UCUCCCGCUUCUCCUCCCUGAGCGGGUGCCUCGACGCUAGUUGAGGCGUUUCGCCCCCGGUUGCUUUCCCCUUUGCCGGGGGCCUUUUAUU
rnacentral:ncRNA from 1 species